rnacentral:rRNA from 1 species
UGGGCGAAAGCCUGAUCCAGCCAUGCCGCGUGUGUGAAGAAGGUCUUCGGAUUGUAAAGCACUUUAAGUUGGGAGGAAGGGCAGUUACCUAAUACGUGAUUGUUUUGACGUUACCGACAGAAUAAGCACCGGCUAACUCUGUG